rnacentral:rRNA from 1 species
GACGAACGCUGGCGGCGUGCUUAACACAUGCAAGUCGAACGGUAAGGCCCUUCGGGGUACACGAGUGGCGAACGGGUGAGUAAUACGUGGGUGAUCUGCCCUGCACUUCGGGAUAAGCCUGGGAAACUGGGUCUAAUACCGGAUAGGACCACUGCCUGCAUGGGUGGUGGUGGAAAGCUUUUGCGGUGUGGGAUGGGCCCGCGGCCUAUCAGCUUGUUGGUGGGGUGAUGGCCUACCAAGGCGACGACGGGUAGCCGGCCUGAGAGGGUGACCUGCCACGCUGGGACUGAGAUACGGCCCAGACUCCUACGGGAGGCAGCAGUGGGGAAUAUUGCACAAUAGGCGCAAGCCUGAUGCAGCAACGCCGCGCGAGGGAUGACGGCCUUCGGGUUGUAAACCUCUUUUAGCAGGGAAGAAGCGAAAGUGACGGUACCUGCAGAAAAAGCACCGGCUAACUACGUGCCAGCCGCCGCGGUAA